UCUAGCUUUUUAGUCAAAUUGGUUUCCCACUGAAGCUAAGCAGGGUUGAGCCUGGCCAAUACCUGGAUGGGAGACCUCCUGGGGAAAACUUAGGUUGUUGCUGGAA
rnacentral:rRNA from 1 species